GCAGGCGCAGCGGCCAUGGCUCACGGGCCCAGCCGCUCCGCGGCACGUGGGAUCCUCCCCGACCGGGGCACGAACCCGUUUGCCCUGCAUCGGCAGGUGGACUCUCAACCACUGCGCCACCAGGGAAGCCCUAUCUCUGAUUUUAAGCGUAUGACCGAGGUGGAGGGUUGCUGUUGGGGUCCUGGCUGGUUACAGUAGGGCUGGCAUUUCCUCAUUUUGGUAAACUUUCAGGUUGACAAAUGUAAUUAAAGAAAACAGCCUAGAUGCCCUAUGAAAUAAACCGCUGUAAGAACAAAGACCAGGGAUGUGGAAGCGAUGUGAUCAAAGCCUAAUGCGCUCCCAAGAGAACUGAAGUGUCAGCAAGGUUUGUGCUGGUUGUUCAUAAAAUAAGCAGUUAUGUGUUUAAGGGAAAAAUCUGCCUGGGACAUCAAAGUCUUCACAGACCGCAAGUUGUAACAGAGUAUCUUUUGAAUGUAGCGGAAAUUGUGUGUCCUGAAAAGACGGAAGCCCGGGCAAAUGUAAGCAUAACUGGAAAUGCUGUUGUUCAAUGUCCUGGAAAUAUGGCUAGGAAACGAAAAGAUAAAUUGUGUGAAAAGUUUUAAACAUUGUGACGUUUGCUAUUACAGCUGAUGAGGUUACA